rnacentral:rRNA from 1 species
AUACGUAGGGGGCGAGCGUUGUCCGGAAUGAUUGGGCGUAAAGGGCGCGUAGGCGGCCCGGUAAGUCUGGAGUGAAAGUCCUGUUUUUAAGAUGGGAAUUGCUUUGGAUACUGUCGGGCUUGAGUGCAGGAGAGGUAAGUGGAAUUCCCAGUGUAGCGGUGAAAUGCGUAGAGAUUGGGAGGAACACCAGUGGCGAAGGCGACUUACUGGACUGUAACUGGCGCUGAGGCGCGAAAGUGUGGGGAGCAAACAGGAGUAGAUACCCUGGUAGUCCACACUGUAAACGAUGAAUGCUAGGUGUAGGGGGUAUCGACCCCUUCUGGGCCGCAGUCAACACAAUAAGCAUUCCGCCUGGGGAGUACGGCCGCAAGGUUGAAACUCAAAUGAAUUGGCGGGG